rnacentral:misc_RNA from 1 species
GGAUGAAGAACGUAGCGAAAUGCGAUAAGUAAUGUGAAUUGCAGAAUUCAGUGAAUCAUCGAAUCUUUGAACGCACCUUGCACCCUUUGGCAUUCUGAAGGGUAUGCUCGUUUGAGUGUCAUUGUACUCUCACACUCCCGAUCUUUGCAUUGGGAGCAGUGGACUUGGGUUUGCUGCUUCACCGUCGCUUACCUCAAAUAGGUUAGUGCAACUCUUGGUUGGACAUAGUACGGCGUGAUAAGUGUUCUUCGCCGGUGCCUCGCAAAGAGGGUGGCCGAUCGGGAUGUUUGUGCUCCAAACCGUCUUCGGACAAUCUCUGACGACUUGACCUCAAAUCGAGUAAGACUACCCGCUGAACUUAAGCAUAUCAAUAAGCGGAGGA